GUCGAAGCCUGUGCAGAGAAAAUUCUAAUCGAGGUCCAGGGAGAAAGGGAGGGAGAUUCAUCAGAAUUCGCUUUUCUCCUCGCCAUGGACUCUCAUCACGCUUCUCUUGGUCGAAGAACGUUGGAAGAGAUUAGACAAAAGAGAGCUGCUGAGAGAUUGAGCAAAACAUCUUCCGGACCAGAUCUCACCAAAGCUCCAAUUCCUAGUGAUAAUAUGGGAAUGAAAAAAUCAGAAAGCUCAACUCGACUCUCUGAGACCGAUGUUAGUGGAUUAGUAUCUCAGCUAAAAGAUCUGCAGAAAAAGAAUGCAGAUUUGGAGGAAAGCAACAAGGUGUUAUCCUUGAAGAUUCAAACAAAAGAUGUUGAGAAUGAAUCACUGCUGAAGCGCUUAAAUGAUUUGGAGCAGAAUACUGUACCAUCUUUAAGAAAAGCACUCAAGGAUGUGGCCAUGGAGAAAGAUGCAGCAGUGGUUGCACGGGAGGACCUUUCAGCCCAGCUUCGCACCCUUAAGAAACGUCUGAAGGAUGCAGAAGAAGAACAAUACAGAGCUGAGGAAGAUGCAGCAGCUUUGAGAGCAGAGUUAAACUCGAUUCAGCAACAAGCGAUGAGUAAUAAUAUACUCAGUGGAAUGACAUCUGUUGGUAUUUCUCCAGAUCAAGUACAAAACUUGGAAAAGGAGUUGGCUGGUUUAAAGUCAAAUUUGCAGCAAGAGUCAUUAUUGAGGCAAAAAGAGCAACAACGGUUAGCAGAGGAGCAAGCUCGGGUUUCUACCCUUACAUCUGAAAAUCUGGAAUUGGAGGAGAAACUUGCAGCUAUAUCCAGAAGAGGCCCUGGUAUACAUCUUUAGAAGCUUCAUAGUUACCUAGUAGCCAUGAAAGUGCUCCCUAUACAAUGGGAACAUGCACAAAGAAUCCUGUUCUGUCCAUUUACUGCUGUCUUUGAUGGUUCUCAUUUGCUUUGCUAAGUCACCUUCUCUGGUUUUGUAAAUUGCAGAAGUAUCAGAAAAAGUAGCUCAUAAGGUGUUUUCAGUGGUAAGAAAAUCUCUAUGAUUGUUGUAUUCAUUUGUUUGGACUUUCCAUUUGCCAAUCAUGGCUGCGUGCCACACUUUCCAUUAUAAUUACUGUUUCUUUUUUCUAUCUCCUUUUUGGUUAGAAUCCCUUUCCGAAAACAAUUUAUUGUCAAUUCUUGAUCCCUUGUUAACGAAUGGUUGAUAGAAUGUGGGUAAGAUUUCAAUUUCUAUUUUGAUGGAUGUUACAUGCUUUGCAGGAAGAAAAGGAGAAACUUGAGAAGCGGUUGCAUGAUAUGGCUGAAGCAGUUGAGAGAUUGGAGAGUAGUAGACAGAAACUUCUAAAGGAGGUGCAGUCCUUGCUUGUUUGAUUUCCUUGCUGUAAUAUGAAUGGAAAUCUGAAACUCACACGCAUCCCAAAGUGACCAUAUUUUGCUUACAGGUUGAUUCCCAAUCUACAGAGAUAGAGAAGCUAUUUGAGGAAAAUUCUAAUCUCUCUUCUUCUUAUCAAGAGGCAACAAGCAUAGCAAAGCAGUGGGAGAAUCAGUUUAAGGACUGUCUUAAGCAAAAUGAAGAGCUUCGUGGAGUUCUCGUUAAGAUGAGAAUGGAGCAGUCUAGUAUGCUUUCUUCAGGUGAUAAGGAUAUCCUGGGAAGUUCCACUGAACGCAAUAGCAAUGGGAUAAAUGAGACUGGUUCACAGACGUAUACAACUGAGGUCAUUUCCCUCAAGGUUAGUGUUUGAGGAUAGAAGGGUUUUGUUCCUAAAAAGUUCUGAUACCCCUCUGUGCUUUUGUUAUGGUACCUUCUGAGAUUCAACAUUUGUAAGAUAGAGCCAAUCUUUUACUUAAUGAUUCUAAGUAGAUAUUGGUUUUCAGUUCAUCAGUUUGCAUUCACUCAUGGUUGUGUUUUCUUUGAAGGGUGAGCUUGCAAAAGAGCAGAACAGAGCAGAAGCUUUGUCAGCAGAGGUCCUGCAGCUAUCAGCAAAACUCCAAGAAGCUACACAGGCAUAUAAUGGUCUUGCACGCCUCUAUAAACCAGUGCUGAGGAACAUUGAAAACAGCCUCAUCAAAAUGAAGCAAGAUGGCUCUGUGACUGUACUGUGAAAACACAGCAAUUUUACUGCGAUAUCAAGCUUUCUUUCUUUGACUAGUUCGUUGCAAUACUUUUGAGUACUUAACAAUUUUGGGGUAUUGCUUGCUAGAAACAAUUUUCAGAGGAAUGUUUUAAACAGAUUCCCUUAUUUGUUGUACAAGGGUUGGGCCAGCAACUAUAAACAAAAAGUUGAUCUACUUGCUGCAUUCAUUUACUAAUAUAAAGUGGUGUAUUGUUUUCUUGUUCGUUUUCUGCAUGAAUAAUUUACUAUGGUGUGAUGCUUGCCCUUUAGAACUAAAUGUACUUUCAGAGCAUAAAAACCAGACUACCCGAAGGCAGCAGAUGGCAGCACGGCUGCACCUUUGGUAGAUGGAGCGGAAACGGUGGCUCAAUUACAGGAUCUUAAUUGCCAACCUACAAUCUAAAUUGGUUCAUAUUCUGUAGCUACAACGGACCCAGGACCCACCCCAUUGGAGAUUAAUGGCCCCAACUCUGUUUAUGGCAAUUAUUGACGUGAAUACUAGAUGCUCGAGAUGUCAGAUGCUAAGUCGAAGAUGAGGGGCAUGAGUGUCAGAGCAGGAAAACAGAGGAAGAUGAAGAGUAGCAUCCAAUUAUGAUUUAAAUAGCAAUAUCAAACUAACACACGAACUAUAACAAGAACACUUCAAGAUUGUAUGAUGUUAAUAUGCAUAACGUUAUUUUGAGCAGCAGCCCGCAUUUUAGUGCCGCUAGUUCCUAAUCAUUUCCAAAUUUACUCGGACAGAGGCAGCUGGUGUGAGCCUGUGAUGUGAUGGAGAUUGGAGGCUUUUAUAAGGUGUAUUCGUCUUUCUAUGUGCCAUGUACACUAAUCCAUGUUAUCAUUCAUAAAUUCAAUAACGGAGCAGUAAGAGUGAUCAUGGUUUAAAUUCAAUUGUUUGAAAUCUACAGAUGAUGCUCUCUGAUUUUCCCUCUUUUAUAUAUGUCAGAAAGCAAUAAGCAAGAAAUCCUAACAUGGUACAUAUGCGCAACAUACAUCUUUAUCAACAUCUGAUGUUUCAUCGUUAGCAUGCUGCAAUGUCCAACAACAUAAUACCAUCGAUGUAUCCUAGUAAGAAGAAUCUGGUACAAACAUGUGAGAGCCACAUUCAGCCUUCUGA
rnacentral:misc_RNA from 1 species